GUGCUCGCUUUGGCAGCACAUAUACUAAAAUUGCAACUAUACUGAGAAGAUUAGCAUGGCCCCUGCAUAAGGAUGACAUGUAAAAUAAAUUUUAAAAAGAUGA
ensembl:snRNA U6 U6 spliceosomal RNA